rnacentral:rRNA from 1 species
UACGUAGGGUGCAAGCGUUAAUCGGAAUUACUGGGCGUAAAGCGUGCGCAGGCGGUGAUGUAAGACAGUUGUGAAAUCCCCGGGCUCAACCUGGGAACUGCAUCUGUGACUGCAUUGCUGGAGUGCGGCAGAGGGGGAUGGAAUUCCGCGUGUAGCAGUGAAAUGCGUAGAUAUGCGGAGGAACACCGAUGGCGAAGGCAGCCCCCUGGGUCAAGACUGACGCUCAUGCACGAAAGCGUGGGGAGCAAACAGG